AUGAGUAAAAAUAAAACGAAUAAUGAGCGUAGCAUCAUAUUCGAGUCAAUUAAAUUAUGUGUACGAAGAAGCAAAAGUACCUGGUUAUUAAUUUUUCGUGUAAUAUUUGUAGACAUUUUUAUGAUAACUAUGUCCACAUCAGCAGCCGUCUCCGUCGCUGCCGCCGCCGCCGUCUCCUCCGCCGCCGCCGCCGUCGGACGCCUGCUUCCUCUUCUUCCUAGGACAAGCUCGCCAUCUCCCCCAAGGAAAAUAUAUAUGGACGCAAGUAGCAAAUUUAACUUGGUGCAAGCUGCAAGGGGAAGGAAAGUUGUGCUUGGAGCAAAAAUGGAUUCGCGGAAGAUUACCAAAAGGGAUUCUCCAAACGAUCUGAAAUCCAGAGCCCAAUGGAAUCUAGAACUUGAAAGGGCUUUGGUGGAGAUCCUUCUUGAGCACAAUACUCCUUAUCACCGAGGGGGGAAUGGAUGGAGUGGUGAAGUUUGGAAUAUGAUGGUUAGAAUAUUCCAUGCUAGACAUAGUUAUGUCAAAUUCUCAAAGUAUCAACUCCAAGAAAAGGAAAAGGAGAUAAAGAGAGAGUAUAAAAUGCUAAGGGAGGCGCGUAAACAAAGUGGAGUUGGUUGGGAUGAAAUGAGGUGCAUGAUACAAGCUGACGCGCAUCUUUGGGAUGAGCUGACGAUUUUAUUUGGUUCAAGGAUAAAUAAAUUCAAGUCCAAACCUUUUCCUCUCUUCAACCUAUUAGGAGAUCUCUAUGAUGUGCACAUUGUCGAGGGCCAUUAUAACUUCACAUCCACUUCUGAGCCAUCACAGAUUGCUGGUGUUGCACAUACUGAAACUGAGACAGAGGAAGUGAAUCGAAGAUUUUCUCAUCUUCUUGUUAAAUAG
rnacentral:rRNA from 1 species